rnacentral:rRNA from 1 species
AUGGGAUCAUACUCGACAAGCGAAGUGCUUAAUGCUGCCGCGGUUGGGGUCCAUCAUCCAGCACUCCGUUUGCACGAGCUGGACCUGAAAGGUUCCAUGUCGGUGGAGGAACUACCAACGACGUCAGGCCUGGAGAAUGGACACCAAGCACCAUUUGUUAUUGGUGUUGCUGGAGGUGCGUCUUCAGGUAAAAGUACUGUUUGCAAAAUGAUCAUCGAUCAGCUAUGCGAUCAGCGUGUAGUUGUUGUUACUCAGGAGUCAUUUUAUUACGGACUGUCUGAUGAGGAAAUGAUUCAUGUUCAUGAUUAUAACUUUGAUCAUCCAGAUGCAUUUGAUACGGACUUACUACUCUCUUGUAUGGAAAAAUUGAAACAUGGUAAAGCUGUUGACAUUCCAAGCUACGACUUCAAAACACAUAAGAGUGUCUCAUGUGCAAGAAAGGUUAAUCCUUCAGAUGUUAUAAUUUUGGAAGGAAUUCUACUUUUCCAUGAUUCACGUGUCCGGGAUCUAAUGAACAUGAAGAUCUUCGUUGAUACAGAUGCUGAUGUGCGAUUAACAAGGAGGAUCCGUCGUGAUACCAUUGAGAAGGGUAGAGAUAUUAUAGCUGUGUUAGAUCAGUACUCAAAGUUUGUAAAGACAGCUUUUGAAGACUUCAUUCUCCCCACAAAGAAGUAUGCUGAUAUUAUCAUCCCACGAGGCGCAGAUAACAGUGUGGCAAUUGACCUAAUCGUUCAGCAUAUUCGCACUAAGCUUGGUCAAAAUGAUCUAUGUAAAAUACACCCAAAUUUAUAUGUUAUUCAGACUACUUACCAGAUACGAGGCAUGCACACAAUAAUACGAGAUGCUGCCACGACGACACAUGAUUUCAUAUUUUAUGCUGAUCGGUUAAUUCGAUUGGUUGUCGAGCAUGGCCUUGGUCAUCUUCCUUUCAGGGAAAAGCAGGUCAUUACUCCAACUGGAUCUGUUUACACUGGUGUGGAUUUCUCAAAAAGUUUAUGUGGGAUAUCAGUGAUUAGGAGUGGCGAAAGUAUGGAGAAUGCUCUGCGGGCAUGCUGUAAAGGUAUAAAGAUUGGGAAGAUUCUUAUUCACAGGGAAGGAGAUGAUGGGAAACAGCUCAUCUAUCACAAUUUACCCAAAGAUAUCGCAAAAAGGCAUGUUCUGUUGCUGGACCCCAUAUUGGGAACAGGAAAUUCAGCUGUUCAAGCUAUCUCUCUUCUCUUGGAGAAGCGUGUACAAGAAGCAAAUAUUAUAUUCCUCAAUCUUAUAUCAGCUCCCCAAGGGGUGCAUGUAGUCAGCAAGAGAUUCCCAAGGGUCAAGAUUGUGACAUCAGAGAUCGAGCUUGGUCUGAAUGAUGAUUUCCGUGUCAUCCCUGGGAUGGGUGAGUUUGGGGACAGAUAUUUUGGAACAGAUGAUUAUCAGCCAUCAACGCCAUUCUUCGCCGAUGACAAAAAUCGUGUUGGGCUUUUGUGA